rnacentral:rRNA from 1 species
CUGGUCAGUUAAUACAUGAUAACUUUGCGGUCNUCAAUUUUAAUUGAAUUUUGAUGACCAAUAUUUGAAGCGCUUGCGUGGAUGAUAUGCAGACCUACAGAACGGGGUUUACCCGAUACGGGUUGNNNAGAUCUUYGGAACUAGKYAGCCUAACUGAAGGCCUUAAGGAACAAAGAMUUAGGGAUUAGAUAGUAGCUAGUAUAKAGUACUAGCUAGUCUAUAAUCCCAACAGAGAAUUAUCGUUCGAUCCUGGAGAGAGAGCCUUACAAACCGCUAUCACAUCUAAGGAAGGCAGCAGGCGCGCAAAUUACCCAAUGUCAAUUCGACGAGGUAGUGAAAAAACGUAAUGACCUCCCUAUUUUUUGAGGGUUGCUCUUCGGAGCAUUACAAUGGUCUAAGAAUAAAACUCUUGGAGAGAAACAACUAGAGGAAAAGUCUGGUGCCAGCACCCGCGGUAAUUCCUGCUCUAGUAGAAUAUAUUAAUGUUGUUGUAUUUAAAACGUUCGUAGUUUACUUAAGUUGUAUUUUAUUGUUGUCGGUUAGUUGAGCUUGCUUUUCUCUGUAUUUGGUUAUGGAGGAAGGUUUUCACCUUCGGGUCGAUUUAAAGAACGACAGCUCUUUGCUUUGCAUUGGUUAGAAGUGAUUUGGAAAGUCAUCUUAAUGAUGGUCUUCUCCUGUCAUGGAUGAUGGUAACAGUUAAAAUAUGAUGUUUAGAAGUGAGAAAAAAUCUAUAUGCUCCAGGUAAGCUUUACCAUCUUGUGUCUUCGGAUACUCGAUAAAAUUUGCUUGAAAGUUAUAGCUUGCUAUUCUUUUAAACUUUAAGGAAGCUGARUCUUUCGGGNNNNAGUGGACUUAAAGUAUUAAUAAUGGAACUCAUGUCAAGUCAACAGUAUUACAGGGAUAGAGGUGAAAUUCAAUAACCCUUGUAAGACUACCUAAUGCUAACGCAGUUGACAAGACUGGUUUCGUCAAUCAGGAACUAAAGUUAGAGGAUCGAAGAUGAUUAGAUACCGUUGUAGUUCUAACCGUAAACUAUUUCGACAGAAAAGCAGAUUUAAAUAUCAAUAUUUGGAUGAAUCUGUAGUUCAAGGGAAACCUUAAGUUUUUGGAAUAUAGGGGUAGUAUGAUCGCAAGGUUGAAACUUAAAAGCAUUGACGGAAAAGCACCACCAGGUGUGGAUUCUGCGGCUUAAUUCGACUCAACGCGGGGAAACUUGCCAAGUUAGGAUACAAGUAGGAUUGUCAGAGUAAAGCUCUUACUUGAUUUUGUAGUUGGUGGUGCAUGGCCAUUCUUAGUUCGUGGAGUGAUUUGUCUUGUUAAUUCAGAUAACGAGCGAGACCUAAGCCAAUAUUUUUAGGCUUUCUAGUGAAUAUUUUGCUAGAAUGACAAAAACAUUUACCAUACCUGCUUGCAGGAAGGAUAAAUGGUUAGUUAUUGGGAUACCUUAUWWUUAAACCGUUACAAGGAAGGUGAAACGUUAGGCGAUAAUAGGUCUGUGAUGCCCUUAGAUAUCUUGGAAUGCACGCGGGAUACAAUAAUUAAGAUAAUAAGUUUAUUUUAGUUUUCUGUAUUCUUUUAGAAUAGUUUGAAAGUAGAACCUGCCUCGAAAGAGGUGGGAAAUCUCYAAAUCUUAAUUUUGACAAGGAUUGUCUCUUGUAACAGAGGCAUGAAAGAGGAAUACCUAGUAGGCGUGAGUCAACACCUCGCACCGAUUAAGUCCCUGCUUUUUGUACACACCGCCCGUCGCAUCAAGGAACACGAUUGAAGUCAUGAAGCUUACGGAUAGUACGUCCACUUGUGGACGUCUAAAAGUAAACUGAAUGGUUUUAAUCUUACCAUGAUGAAGUCGUAACAAGGUUUUC